rnacentral:rRNA from 1 species
GAUGAACGCUGGCGGCGUGCCUAAUACAUGCAAGUCGAGCGAACAGGCGAGGAUCUUGCUCCUCUGACGUUAGCGGCGGACGGGUGAGUAACACGUGGAUAACCUACCUAUAAGACUGGGAUAACUUCGGGAAACCGGAGCUAAUACCGGAUAAUAUAUUGAACCGCAUGGUUCAAUAGUGAAAGACGGUUUUGCUGUCACUUAUAGAUGGAUCCGCGCCGCAUUAGCUAGUUGGUAAGGUAACGGCUUACCAAGGCAACGAUGCGUAGCCGACCUGAGAGGGUGAUCGGCCACACUGGAACUGAGACACGGUCCAGACUCCUACGGGAGGCAGCAGUAGGGAAUCUUCCGCAAUGGGCGAAAGCUUGACGGAGCAACGCCGCGUGAGUGAUGAAGGUCUUCGGAUCGUAAAACUCUGUUAUUAGGGAAGAACAAAUGUGUAAGUAACUAUGCACGUCUUGACGGUACCUAAUCAGAAAGCCACGGCUAACUACGUG